GUGCCAGCAGGCCGCGGUAAUACGAAGGGGGCUAGCGUUGCUCGGUAAUCACUGGGCGUAAAGGGCGCGUAGGGCGGCCGAUUAAGUCGGGGGUGAAAGCCUGUGGCUCAACCACAGAAUUGCCAUCGAUACUGGUUGGCUUGAGACCGGAAGAGGACAGCGGAACUGCGAGUGUAGAGGUGAAAUUCGUAGAUAUUCGCAAGAACACCAGUGGCGAAGGCGGCUGUCUGGUCCGGUUCUGACGCUGAGGCGCGAAAGCGUGGGGAGCAAACAGGAUUAGAUACCCUGGUAGUCC
rnacentral:rRNA from 1 species